GGCAGCAUAGCUCCGGUGGUUGAGCCCUUGCCUAGCAAGUGCAAGGCCCUGAGUUCAAGUCCCAGUGCUGCCA
rnacentral:tRNA from 1 species